rnacentral:snoRNA from 1 species
AACCCCUUGGCAAUGGGCAAAGAGACACCUGAUUGGUGGUGUUGAUCUUAUAUCAGCUAGGGGUACAGCACUUACAGUCCUUUGUUCAUCCUAGCUUGAUGCCUGCUUGGUGGCCAGAGCUGUUUCAUGCCUAGGGCACAUAC